rnacentral:misc_RNA from 1 species
GUCUGGAGUUGUCUGAAAUUCAUCCCACAUCGGCUUGCUGGAGCUGCACUCUUAGCUCCCGUUGCUAAUUACUGGUGGCCUGGUUUUCUGACCAACGUAUCGAAAACAGCUUAUGCUCAGCAACUUGUACAAGAUCAAUGGGCGGUUCGAGUCGCUCAUUAUGUUCCUUGGUUGACUUACUGGUGGAAUACACAAAAAUGGUUUCUCUCUUCGAGUGUUAUGACUUUCUCUAUCAAGAUUUUUUCUGACCCAGAUAAAAUGCUGUUGCACAAGUUAGCUGGAGAUCCGUAUAAGGCACAGAUAAUGCAGCAAGGAGAAUUUGUGUCCCUCUAUCGAGACUUGAUAGUCGGUUUUGGGCGAUGGGAAUU